rnacentral:rRNA from 1 species
GACGAACGCUGGCGGCGUGCUUAACACAUGCAAGUCGAGCGGUAAGGCCCUUCGGGGUACACGAGCGGCGAACGGGUGAGUAACACGUGGGUGACCUGCCUCUAGCUCUGGGAUAAGCCUGGGAAACUGGGUCUAAUACCGGAUAUGACUCCACGGCGCAUGUUGUGGGGUGGAAAGCCUUGUGUGGCUAGAGAUGGGCCCGCGGCCUAUCAGCUUGUUGGUGGGGUGAUGGCCUACCAAGGCGACGACGGGUAGCCGGCCUGAGAGGGCGACCGGCCACACUGGGACUGAGACACGGCCCAGACUCCUACGGGAGGCAGCAGUGGGGAAUCUUGCGCAAUGGGCGAAAAGCCUGACGCAGCGACGCCGCGUGAGGGAUGA